AUUGAACGCUGGCGGCAGGCCUAACACAUACAAGUCGAACGAGUGGCGGACGGGUGAGUAUUGUCUGGGAAACUGCCCGUUGGAGGGGGAUAUCUACUGGAAACGGUAGCUAAUACCGCAUACCAUCGGAUGUGCCCAGAUGGGAUUAGCUCGUGGGUGGGGUAACGGCUCACCGAGGCGACGCUCCCUAGCUGGUCUGAGAGGGUGACCAGCAACACUGGAACUGAGACACGGUCCAGACUCCUACGUGAGGCAGCAGUGGGGAAUAUUGCACAAUGGGCGCAAGCCUGAUGCAGCCAGGCCGCGUGUAUGAAGAAGGCCUUCGGGUUGUAAAGUACUUUCAGCGAGGAGGCGUUACUCGCAGAAGAAGCACCGGCUAACUCCGUGCCAGCAGCCGCGGUAAUUC
rnacentral:rRNA from 1 species